UCGUACAAGGUUUCCGUAGGUGAACCUGCGGAAGGAUCAUUA
rnacentral:rRNA from 2 species